AUUUCAACCCUCGACGUCCCCUGGGGACGUGCGGCCUUGGGGACCGGCAGCCCACCGCCGGCCCUGAAAUCGAGUGGCGGCCCGUCCGCGGCGACCUCUGCGCAGUACUCCAGCUCGCACCGGGAACCCGACGCGGCCACGCUUAAAACACCCAACUCUGAACGUUGACCUCGGAUAGGUAGGACUACCCUUCUGAACUUAA
rnacentral:sRNA from 1 species